UACGGGGGGGGCAAGCGUUGUUCGGAAUUACUGGGCGUAAAGGGCUCGUAGGCGGCCAACUAAGUCAAACGUGAAAUCCCUCGGCUUAACCGGGGAACUGCGCUUGAUACUGGAUGGCUUGAGAUUGGGAGAGGGAUGCGGAAUUCCAGGUGUAGCGGUGAAAUGCGUAGAUAUCUGGAGGAACACCGGUGGCGAAGGCGGCAUCCUGGACCAACACUGACGCUGAGUGAGCGAAAGCCAGGGGAGCAAACGGG
rnacentral:rRNA from 2 species